AGCGCAGGCGGACUCGUGUGUCGGACGUGAAAUACCGGGGCUCAACCCCGGGGCUGCGUCCGAAACUACGAGUCUAGAGACUUGGAGGGGUAAGCGGAAUUCUUGGUGGAGCAGUGAAAUGCGUAGAUAUCAAGAGGAACACCAACGGCGAAGGCAGCUUACUGGACAAGAUCUGACGCUCAGGCUCGAAAGCGUGGGGAGCAAAAG
rnacentral:rRNA from 1 species